CAGGACGAACGCUGGCGGCGUGCCUAACACAUGCAAGUCGAGCGAGGAGAUUCCUUCGGGAUGAUCCUAGCGGCGGACGGGUGAGUAACACGUGGGCAACCUGCCUCAUAGAGAGGAAUAGCCUUCCGAAAGGGAGAUUAAUACCUCAUAACAUUGCAGUUUCGCAUGAAACAGCAAUUAAAGGAGCAAUCCGCUAUGAGAUGGGCCCGCGGCGCAUUAGCUAGUUGGUGAGGUAACGGCUCACCAAGGCGACGAUGCGUAGCCGACCUGAGAGGGUGAUCGGCCACAUUGGGACUGAGACACGGCCCAGACUCCUACGGGAGGCAGCAGUGGGGAAUAUUGCACAAUGGGGGAAACCCUGAUGCCAGCAACGCCGCGUGAGUGAUGACGGCCUUCGGGUUGUAAAGCUCUGUCUUCAGGGACGAUAAUGACGGUACCUGAGGAGGAAGCCACGGCUAACUACGUGCCAGCCGCCGC
rnacentral:rRNA from 1 species